UACGUAGGGGGCGAGCGUUGUCCGGAUUCAUUGGGCGUAAAGCGCUUUAAGGCGGUUCGCUAAGUCGCGUGUGAAACCUCCAGGCUCAACCUGGAGACGCCACGCGAUACUGGCGUGACUAGAGUUCGGUAGGGGAUCACGGAAUUCCUGGUGUAGCGGUGAAAUGCGCAGAUAUCAGGAGGAACACCGGUGGCGAAGGCGGUGAUCUGGGCCGACACUGACGCU
rnacentral:rRNA from 1 species